rnacentral:rRNA from 1 species
UACGGGGGGGGCAAGCGUUGUUCGGAAUUACUGGGCGUAAAGGGCUCGUAGGCGGCCAACUAAGUCGGAUGUGAAAUCCCCAGGCUCAACCUGGGAACUGCAUCCGAUACUGGAUGGCUUGAAUCCGGGAGAGGGAUGCAGAAUUCCAGGUGUAGCGGUGAAAUGCGUAGAUAUCUGGGGGAAUACCGGUGGCGAAGGCGGCAUCCUGGACCGGCAUUGACGCUGAGGAGCGAAAGCCAGGGGAGCAAACGGG